rnacentral:rRNA from 1 species
GAUGAACGCUGGCGGCGUGCCUAAUACAUGCAAGUCGAGCGAACAGACGAGGGGCUUGCUCCUCUGACGUUAGCGGCGGACGGGUGAGUAACACGUGGAUAACCUACCUAUAAGACUGGGAUAACUUCGGGAAACCGGAGCUAAUACCGGAUAAUAUAUUGAACCGCAUGGUUCAAUAGUGAAAGACGGUUUUGCUGUCACUUAUAGAUGGAUCCGCGCCGCAUUAGCUAGUUGGUAAGGUAACGGCUUACCAAGGCGACGAUGCGUGGCCGACCUGAGAGGGUGAUCGGCCACACUGGAACUGAGACACGGUCCAGACUCCUACGGGAGGCAGCAGUAGGGAAUCUUCCGCAAUGGGCGAAAGCCUGACGGAGCAACGCCGCGUGAGUGAUGAAGGUCUUCGGAUCGUAAAACUCUGUUAUUAGGGAAGAACAAAUGUGUAAGUAACUAUGCACGUCUUGACGGUACCUAAUCAGAAAGCCACGGCUAACUACGUG